GUUACAGCUUCCUUAGCAACAGCUAUUUUCUAUUGUGAUUUCUUUGGGCCGAGGAGGACUGUACCUGGACAGAAUGGACUCAGUUAACACAGGUUCUGAAUUACAUGCCUCCCAAUGGAACAGGAUUGGAUUUCUAGCUCAACCCAAGACCUCUAAGACAGUUUGGGCCACAAUACCCUGGACGUUGACAUGGGGAAACCAGGAAUCAAUAUGGCCCCUGUCCCGCUCUGCACUGCGAGCUGUUCCAAGCUCCAGAAUAAAAGCUCUGGC